AGAGAACAUGACUGACAAAGAUCUAUUGGACAGUGAUUAUGAAGGGAUUUCACAAAUACAUGAGCACAGUUACAUUGUGAUAUCGGACUCUGACGAGACACAACCACCUUCACCUUUUGGUUGACAGGAAUAUUCCAGUGAAAGAUCAGUUGUUUAACAGCCUUUUUGACAAACAAAUUCCUGGUGCUGCCAUUCCUAAUCAACCGCCAUAUCAGAAUUUUGGAUAAGAAUUCAGAUUACUGGCUGCAUAUUCAACCGAAUUUUUGGGUACUGGGUUGGUGGGGGGUAACGUGUUUCAGACCAGAAUCCUGCCGGACCAUCCAAUUGCAAGGACAUCUAACAUAGCUGAAAUGUAUCUGUAAUGAAUUAUUAAAAGUUUGGAUAAAAAAUGUGUUCUUAAAUCAUUAUUUUAAACAAAUUAUACACCCAGGUUGACUAUUUUGAAAAAAUGAAAAAUGACAAUUUUUACACAUGGGAUUUUUCAAUGUUUCCGCAUUC